rnacentral:rRNA from 1 species
AGAUUCACUUCGGUGAUGACGCUGGGAACGCGAGCGGCGGAUGGGUGAGUAACACGUGGGUAACCUGCCCUAAAGUCUGGGAUACCACUUGGAAACAGGUGCUAAUACCGGAUAACAACAAUAGCUGCAUGGCUAUUGCUUAAAAGGCGGCGAAAGCUGUCGCUAAAGGAUGGACCCGCGGUGCAUUAGCUAGUUGGUAAGGUAAUGGCUUACCAAGGCGACGAUGCAUAGCCGAGUUGAGAGACUGAUCGGCCACAUUGGGACUGAGACACGGCCCAAACUCCUACGGGAGGCAGCAGUAGGGAAUCUUCCACAAUGGGCGAAAGCCUGAUGGAGCAACGCCGCGUGAGUGAAGAAGGUUUUCGGAUCGUAAAGCUCUGUUGUUGGUGAAGAAGGAUAGAGGUAGUAACUGGCCCCUAUUUGACGGUAAUCAACCAGAAAGUCACGGCUAACUACGUGCCAGCAGCCGCGGUAAUACGUAGGUGGCAAGCGUUGUCCGGAUUUAUUGGGCGUAAAGCGAGCGCAGGCGGAAAGAUAAGUCUGAUGUGAAAGCCCCCGGCUUAACCGAGGAAUUGCAUCGGAAACUGUGUUUCUUGAGUGCAGAAGAGGAGAGUGGAACUCCAUGUGUAGCGGUGGAAUGCGUAGAUAUAUGGAAGAACACCAGUGGCGAAGGCGGCUCUCUGGUCUGUAACUGACGCUGAGGCUCGAAAGCAUGGGUAGCGAACAGGAUUAGAUACCCUGGUAGUCCAUGCCGUAAACGAUGAGUGCUAAGUGUUGG